rnacentral:rRNA from 1 species
UGCGAAUGGCUCAUUACAACAGCCACUGUUCACUUGGUCUACUUAUCCUACUUGGAUAACUGCGGUAAUCCUGGAGCUAAUACAUGCCAAAACGCUGGCCAGAAAUGGCUGGUGGCAGAUAUUAGAACAAAACCAAUCGGCUUCGGCCGUAAGUUUGUGACUCUGAGUAUCUUCGCUGAUCGCACGGUCUCGUACCGGCGACGCACCUUUCAAGUGUCUGCCUUAUCAACUUUCGAUGGUAGUUUAUGUGACUACCAUGGUUGUAACGGGUAACGGAGAAUAAGGGUUCAACUCCGGAGAGGGAGCCUGAGAAACGGCUACCACAUCCAAGGAAGGCAGCAGGCGCGCAAAUUACCCACUCUCAGCACGAGGAGGUAGUGACGAAAAAUAACGAGUCGGUUCUCUUUGAGGCCCGAUAUCGGAAUGGGUACAAUCUAAACCCUUUAACGAGGACCUAUGAGAGGGCAAGUCUGGUGCCAGCAGCCGCGGUAAUUCCAGCUCUCAAGGUGUAUAUCGCCAUUGCUGCGGUUAAAAAGCUCGUAGUUGGAUCUGCGCCUGUGGAAGUGGUGCGCCCAAGUGGUGUCUACUGCUAUCCCGGGCUAAUCUGCCGGUUUUCGUGCGGUGCUCUUCACUGGGUGCCGUGCGUGGCUGGCGAGUUUACUUUGAAGAAAUUAGAGUGCUCAAAACAGGCGUUUCGCCUGAAUAGUUGUGCAUGGAAUAAUAGAACAGGACCUCGGUCCGUUUUGUUGGUUUCGGAACUGAGAUAAUGGUUAAGAGGGACUGCUGGGGGCAUUCGUAUCGCUGCGUGAGAGGUGAAAUUCUUGGACCGUAGCGAGACGCCCUACUGCGAAAGCAUUUGCCAAGAAUGUCUUCAUUAAUCAAGAACGAAAGUCAGAGGUUCGAAGGCGAUCAGAUACCGCCC